rnacentral:lncRNA from 1 species
GUGAAAUUACAUAACAUGGUCUUAAACGAAAACAAAUAUCUGGGGAAAAAAACGAGGGAAAACAUCUAAUGAAAGAGUGAAAAAAGGAACAUCUAAAACAUUGAGCUACAACAAAAAUAUAUGCUAAAAUACAUAGAAACUGACUAUAGAUAACAACUGAAAUGUUUUACAUUUUACAGAUACAUGGUUGGUUGCAUGUAUGUCAAUGUUAAACAUAUCGCUUUAUUGACACACUACGUAACAGAAAUGCGGUACAAACAAAAGCACUUAGCUCAGAGAAGUGCAGAACUGAAGUACAACCGCAAUGUAAACUACGGAAUAAAA